UACGGGGGGGGCAAGCGUUGUUCGGAAUUACUGGGCGUAAAGGGCCAGUAGGCGGCCAACUAAGUCGGAUGUGAAAUCCCCAGGCUUAACCUGGGAACUGCAUCCGAUACUGGAUGGCUUGAAUUCGGGAGAGGGAUGCAGAAUUCCAGGUGUAGCGGUGAAAUGCGUAGAUAUCUGGAGGAAUACCGGUGGCGAAGGCGGCAUCCUGGACCGACAUUGACGCUGAACGGCGAAAGCUAGGGGAGCAA
rnacentral:rRNA from 1 species